AGGUGAUCCGCCUGCCUUGGCCUCCCAAAGUGCUGGGAUUACAGGCAUGAGCCACCACGCCCGGCCUCAUAAAGAACUUCUAACUAACAUUAAAGCUAGAAAGAGGAUUUGAGGCAUUAAAAAUCAGUUGAAGAUUUUAAUUUUUGCCCAGUAAACGUUACAUCACUGCCCACCAUUGGUAAGUGAAGACAGAAAGGGAACAAGGAGAAAGUUAGCAAAGAAGAAUGUAGCAACGGGUACAUACAGGACAUAAUUAAUGAGCUCUGAGCUAUAAGAGGAAAGAGAUGGGAUGGUAGCCAAAAAUCUUUCAUGAUGACCCCUUCAGGACUGGGGAGACUUAACUACAACAGCAGCAGCAGCAACAGUUCAUUGAGAGCUGAGCUUUACUAUGUAUCAGGCACUACGAUAAGCACUUUAGAUUUAUUAGUCCCAUUUUACAAAUGAAUAAAAUUAAAUUUUACAUGGUUAUGUGCUUUGCUGAAGGUUACAAAGCUAGGAAAUAGUAGAGCUGAGAUUGGAAUUUAGAACCUCUGACUCUGUAACCCUAAGAGACAAACAGGAAAAUAAACAUGCAAGAGAAGGUUGUUUUAACCUGAAAAUUAUAGAAGGCUGGAUAUCUCUAUUUAGUGCUUUUGCUCUAUUCGUAUUGGGUGUUAUAAGUUAUUAUAAAGUGAUAUAGGAAAAUAGGAUAGGAGGAUGAGGAUUCAGAUAAGAAUUGAAAGUUGAAACAGUAUGAAAUGGCUGACCAAGAAAAAAAUUUUAUCGAGAACCCAGACUCUCCUAGUUUUCUAGUUCAAAGAUGGGUUCUCUCCAAACCAAGAAUAACUGAAGAGAAUCACUGGCUCUUACAUGGAAAGAAUUGGGGCCACAAGAUCCAGGGAGGCAAUGAGUAUUCCAAGCUCUGCAAUGGCAGCAGUUAGAAGUAAAGCCCAGGUAGGUUCCCCAUUGGCUUUGCUGUGGCCAAAAACCUGUACACAGAAGGGAAAUAUCAGGCACAGGAGUACUGAGUCAUUGCUCUCUGAUUUCUCUAGCCUACAGUUUUCAGACAUCUGGAAGACAACAGUGUUACAACUGUGAUACCUUUUAAAUACCUUUACAGCACUCACAGGUAAACUCAUGCUUGGGAUUUAGAGGUUCUUGUACUAAAAACCCACGUCUCCACAUUUAUGAUCUAGUAAUUUCUAAGCCCAUGAAGACCACACUGUUUCUCAUUAAAGCUGGGAAAAAAAGAAGAGGGCAUAAUAAAAGGUCACUCACCCUCAGAAACGGUAUGAUGUUAUCCUUGGCAAUAGCUUGUAGCAGCCUCGGUGCACCUGUGAGGCUCUGAAGUCCAGCCCCACAUGUUGAAAAGAAGGAGCCAAUAACAAUCACCCAUGGGGAUGGCCAA